UAGCUGAGCGAUAAAGCGCCUGGCUUCUGAACCGGCGGCCCCGGGUUCGAAUCCUGG
rfam:Biomphalaria glabrata isolate BB02 unplaced genomic scaffold LGTN_random_Scaffold1358, whole genome shotgun sequence.